UUUCUUUUAAUUUGGUACUUUGGAAAUUUAGAACUAGAGAAAAUUUAAUGUAGUGGAGUAAUGGUUGAAAGGUAUGAUGGUACUCUUGUCAAUAAGAGAAAACACUUACAACCAAAGUACCUGUAAUCAAGGACAAUAUUAGCUGGCUACUUCAAAAGAGAGUGUAAGGAAGAGUGAACUGAUGAUGUAAGUGGUGAAACAGUAGGGGCUGGAGGAAGGCAAAAUGGAUGUGGGUAGAGAACGUGAAGCAAGAACAGUUGCCUAGGAUUUGAUAUUGCUCUAGCUUGUUACAAUUCCAAAACAAUGCCUAAAAACUCCCAUAAUGGAAGUUCUGUUUUUAGUUUUCUACAAAUUUUCAAAUGCUUCAUAUUUUUGCGAAUUCUCAUCUUAUUGCUCUUCUUCAUUGAUGUCAAUAUCUCAAACAAUGUCAAAUGACCCUAUAAAAGAUUAGCAAGUAUAACAUGACUCCUGCAAAAGCCGUAGCAAAACAUAAAUCAACAACAAUAGUAAUGGAAAUGCAUGUUAUCAUUCAUAUCGUGUUGCUCAUUUUUGGUUUAUGUUGAGCAUCAGUGAAUUUUUUUUGUUUGGUAAUUAUCACUAGCAUGAUUUAGUCCACUCUGUAUGUAGUAAAAUUCAGGUCCUCUUUUGGACGCAAUGGAAGCCAUUCUCCAACUGUGAUUAUGGGGCAUGCAGCAUGCUUUUACCCAUCCUAUUUUGAUUGCUCUAUUUAUGCUUAUGUCUCCAUGUCUGGUUUACAUUUUUUCCCCCAAUUCUCUCUCUUUAUCUUAAUUUUUUUUUCUAACAUAUGUUUUAUCUUCCGUUUAGGUCCUGUUGUGUGAUACACAUUGCCUUCUCAGCUAUUGAAAGCUAGCUGGAAUGUUGAACUGUAAUUUCAUCAUUGGUGUCUGAUUGAAUUAACUAAAGCACAGUGCUCUUCCCAGCACCCAUCACACCACCCAUUAAAAGGAGGACUGGACUUCUGUCAGAGUGUGCCACUGGAGCCAUAACCUCUGUACAUCAGUGUACAUGAUAAAGCCAACAAAUAAAGGGAAUAAAGGAUAAAUUUUUUCUUGCAUUGGAUCGAUCAUGAAUUCUCUAAAAUACUUGAGCAUGAGCGACGAUACGCACCUUGUAGCCGCCAUGACAAUGUGCUUCAACUUCUUUUUGGGUUCCACAUCAGCACUCAACACCUGAAAUUAGAUGAUAAGAAAGCAACAGAAGCACAGUACAGGCAAAGACACUGCCAGGUCUAAUAAUAUUUUAUUUAGCUUUUCUCUACCUGAUGCAUGGUAGGAUCAAUAAGAGAGAAUGGUAGACAAGUUAUUAGCAGCCCUUGUAUAUAUAUAUAUAGUGUGUGUGUGUGUGUGUUACAUAUUACACGAGCAACAAAAUAGUUGAAAUAUUCAUGUGAUUAGAUUCUAGAUUAAGAAUUAAGAUGAAUCAGAGAAAAUGCAAUAUAUCGCGCUUGAUGUUCUUCCAAG
rnacentral:misc_RNA from 1 species